AUGCGGGGGCGGGGCCGCGGCGACGCUGGGUGUGUGGACGCAGAUGGCGGCGGCGCAGGGCGCCUGAGCGGGCCGGGGCCAUGAGCGCCGCCCGGCCCCAGUUCAGCAUUGAUGAUGCCUUCGAGCUGUCCCUGGAGGACGGGGGCCCUGGGCCCGAGUCCAGCGGGGUCGCGCGCUUUGGGCCGCUGCACUUCGAGCGUCGGGCCCGGUUCGAGGUGGCUGACGAGGACAAGCAGUCCCGGCUGCGCUACCAGAACCUGGAGAACGAUGAGGAUGGAGCCCAGGCCUCUCCGGAGCCGGAUGGGGGAGUCGGCACCAGCUCCCAGUGGUCCUUCAGCACCAUCAGCAGCAGCACCCAGCGCUCCUACAACACCUGCUGCAGCUGGACCCAACACCCUUUGAUCCAGAAGAACCGCCGAGUGGUGCUGGCCUCCUUCCUGCUCCUGCUGCUGGGGCUGGGUGAGUGGCCCUGA
rnacentral:sRNA from 1 species